rnacentral:rRNA from 1 species
GACGAACGCUGGCGGCGUGCUUAACACAUGCAAGUCGAACGCUGAACCCGCUUCGGUGGGGGAUGAGUGGCGAACGGGUGAGUAACACGUGGGCAACCUGCCCCCGGCUCUGGGAUAACUCCAAGAAAUUGGGGCUAAUACCGGAUGUGACCGCUGGCCGCAUGGUCUGGUGGUGGAAAGGGUUUCCGGCUGGGGAUGGGCCCGCGGCCUAUCAGCUUGUUGGUGGGGUAGUGGCCUACCAAGGCGACGACGGGUAGCCGGCCUGAGAGGGUGACCGGCCACACUGGGACUGAGACACGGCCCAGACUCCUACGGGAGGCAGCAGUGGGGAAUAUUGCGCAAUGGGCGGAAGCCUGACGCAGCGACGCCGCGUGGGGGAUGACGGCCUUCGGGUUGUAAACCUCUUUCAGCAGGGACGAAGCGAGAGUGACGGUACCUGCAGAAGAAGCACCGGCCAACUACGUG